rnacentral:misc_RNA from 1 species
GAUGAAGAACGCAGCGAAAUGCGAUAAGUAAUGUGAAUUGCAGAAUUCAGUGAAUCAUCGAAUCUUUGAACGCACAUUGCGCCCCCUGGUAUUCCGGGGGGCAUGCCUGUUCGGGCGUCAUUACAACCCUCAAGCUCUGCUUGGUAUUGGGCCCCGCCAGUUCUGGCGGGCCCUAAAGUCAGUGGCGGUGCCUUCCGGCUCCGAGCGUAGUAAUUCUUCUCGCUCUGGAGACCCGGUUGUGUGCUUGCCAACAACCCCCAAUUUUUUAAGGUUGACCUCGGAUCAGGUAGGGAUACCCGCUGAACUUAAGCAUAUCAAUAAGCGGAGGA